rnacentral:rRNA from 14 species
ACGGUGGCCAUGGAAGUCGGAACCCGCUAAGGAGUGUGUAACAACUCACCUACCGAAUGAACUAGUCCUGAAAAUGGAUGUCGCUAAGCCGCCGGCCGAUGCCUCGCCAUCCUAGACAAAGGAUGAGUAGGAGGGCGUGAGGGCCGCGCAGAAGCAUAUGCGUGAGCGUGUGUGGAGCGACUCUCAGUGCGGAUCUUGGUGGUAGUAGCAACUAUUCAAAUGAGAACUUUGAAGACUGAAGUGGAGAAAGGUUCCAUGUGAACAGCAAUUGGACAUGGGUUAGUCGAUCCUAAGAGAUAGCUUAAACGCGUUUUAAAGUCGUCAUGUUUUUCGAAA